CCUACGGGUGGCAGCAGUGGGGAAUAUUGCACAAUGGGGGAAACCCUGAUGCAGCGACGCCGCGUGAAGGAAGAAGUAUUUCGGUAUGUAAACUUCUAUCAGCAGGGAAGAAAAUGACGGUACCUGACUAAGAAGCCCCGGCUAACUACGUGCCAGCAGCCGCGGUUAUAUGUAGGGGGCAAGCGUUAUCCGGAUUUACUGGGUGUAAAGGGAGCGUAGGCGGUUUAGCAAGUCAGAAGUGAAAGCCCGGGGCUCAACUCCGGGACUGCUUUUGAAACUGUUGAACUAGAGUGCAGGAGAGGUAAGUGGAAUUCCUGGUGUAGCGGUGAAAUGCGUAGAUAUUAGGAGGAACACCAGUGGCGAAGGCGGCUUACUGGACUGUAAAUGACGCUGAGGCUCGAAAGCGUGGGGAUCAAACAGGAUUAGAUACCCUAGUAGUC
rnacentral:rRNA from 1 species